rnacentral:tRNA from 1 species
GCUCCCGUAGUUUAACGGAUAGAAUAGGGGUUUGCGGAACCUCUGAUCGCAGUUCGAUUCUGCGCGGGAGCGCCC